rnacentral:lncRNA from 1 species
CCGUGGCCACCACCAUAUCCAUCAGGUUUCACAGUUUCCUCACUCUCUGAGUUCACCGUGCCUAUCCCAAAAGCGAAACCACAUUAUUUUAUAAAUAUUGUUAGUACGUACAAAUGUGCAUUCCUCUCCCCAAUUUCAUAAUUAAAUUUCUCUUAAAAACUUUCUAAAAUAUGUAUAUAAUUCCGAUCUCUAGUUAUAAAAAAAAUGAGUUCAACAUUAAAUAUACGUUUUAUAUAAAUUGGCGUCAAGCAUCUAAAUAGUUUGGGAGGGUCUAAUAGGUAUAAGAGCAUGUACAUCAGUGAACCCUUAAAAGAGGGGUUUAACAGAAUAUAAUAACAUUUUUUUUUUGUUUUAGUUUUUUUUUUUUUUAAUUCGAAAAUUAUAAUUUUCGACCAUGUUUUAUUUGGGAUGAUACCGUCUCUUCAGGUUCGUCGGGAUGAUACUGUCUCUUUAAUAUUAAGAUCUUUUGUCUCAAAAACCGUGCCAUGAACCCCUCUUGAUCCUCUGAUGUAGAUGCUCUAAGAAGGACUAAACGUCAUAAGUAAGCGUAAGUGUCUUUUCUUACUAGGACAUCAACAUGAUACUUAAGUGUGUUUAUGACUUAGUGAGUCCAAAUAAUUGACCAUCGUUCACCCCAACUUUUCGCAUUUAAAACGGACGAGAUAGUUGGACAAAAUUAUCAAAUGGUACGUUAGUCCGGUUAGAUUAGCUUCACGAUAAUUUUUUUGUUUUCUAUAAAAUAAUUUUACGUACCCGACUGCCUUGCUGAGACGACGAGAAGAAAUGCAAACACACCCAACAGAAGCAAAGUCUUGGAAGCCAUUUUCUUCAAACUGCUUAUAACACUUUUAAUUUGUAUAUAUGGAGAAAGAAGUGAUGAAUAAAAUGUUAGCCUGCAUGCUCUCUAUUUAAGGAAAACGAGGAGGGCAGAAUGAGGAAAAGUCAAAUAAAUAAUUCGUAGUGCAGUGAAAAGAAGUAUUUUUUUAAUUAAAAGCAAAAGGGAGAUUUAGUGUAUCACAAAAUUUAGAGAAAUUGCAUUGUUUGCAGAUAAAGACACACUUUUUAGUAGCAAAUAAAUAAAACUAUAUUUCUUUGCGCAAGCGAACAAAAGGGAGUUGUAUUAUUCUAGAAGAGUUUAGAUCUAAUUUAUACCCCCCAAAAAAUAUAGUUUAGAUAUCUUUAUCUGUAUCAUGCAAUCUUUCUUUGUAAACAUCUUGAAUAGAGUUAAUAUAUGUUACGUGAUUUAUAUUAGAUUGCAUGAAACAAAAAAUACGUGAAACAAAGUGUUUCGAAAAGGAUAACAAUUUUAAAAAUGAUAGGAAACGUUUGCUUUCGGAAACAUAUAUUAUAUAUAAAACAUCAAAAUCAUAUGAAAAACAAAACGAAACAUUAAAACCAAACGAACUUUAAUACUUAUAUAUCAAACAGAUAAAUAAAGAUACAAAUCCAAACGUGGUAAGAAGAUAACGAAAUUUUCAUAUUUUCGAAUUUACUUCAUCUAUCCUACAAAUAAGAUGGUAAGACGAUCGAUAAGUAUGAUCAAAGUAUAUCUGUAUCCGUUGCGUCGAUUCCCAUAUGGUGGGUUGUUGGAUUGUGAUUUGUGAAAAACUUUAACCUCAAUAGUCUUUUAGAUAUUUCUUAUCAACGUCUUUAAACAUAGGAACCAUCGGACAAGUAUUGAACUAUUGAUAUGUAAGAAUUACAUUAUUGGCCAUAACUGGUAUUAUUGUUACAUUAUUAUUACUAUAAUUUGGACACAAAAUUAGUCCACUAUUUGUACUUUAACUCUUUAAGGAUCUUCUUUGAAAAUCUCAGCCGACAGGUUUUUAAGCAGACGGAUAAAGAAUUAAUACGAAGUAAUUACUAAGAACUUACCUUUAAAGGGUGAAAUUUUGCUUGGCUAUAAUUUAUUCAGGCCUACAUCGAUAAAAAAAAAUAAAAAUCAUUCCAGUGACCUAAGUGUAAAGGAGCUUGAGAUAUACGUGUUGAGAAGAUGAGCAUUAUUAAGUGUACAGAAUGUAGCUGCCGUCCUAAUUAUAAUAAAAUAGAAGUUAAUCCGCACAUUGUAAGGGAUAAUGUUUUUUUAAUUAUUUUUAAAUUUAAUUUAAUUUUUUUUAGUUAAAUUAAAAUUGGUGGCAAAAAUAUUUUAACAAAAAAUAUAAAUAAACAAAAUUAAUAAAAAUUAAAUAAUAUAUAUAUAUAAAUAUCACACAACCGAUAUUUAUUUGUAUAUAUAUAUAUAUUAUAGAGUAUGACUUUGAGCUAAUUUUGUUAUGCAGUUUAAUUAUUCAUAAAAUAAGAAUUUAAUUUUGAAUAUUUUAUUAGAGAUUAAACUAUUAUUUUUAGUUAAUAAAUUAUAAUAUAUGUUAAUAAUAAUUAUAUAUAGGAUUAGACAAAUUCGUCUAUUUAAUUUAUUUUAUAAUUUUUAAAAUAUUAUUUCGACCAAUCCGCAAAAAAUAGAUUUUAAACUUUAAAUUAUAUUUUAUUUUUUAUAAUAAUAAUUGAAUUGAUUUUCAAAAAUGAUGCUAAUUAAUUAUGAAAAUACAAAUGAAAAAUAUUGCAAAAUUUAAAUAGUUUUUCAUAUAUAUGGAUUGAUUAUUAUUUAAAAUAAUAGAAUAUAUUUUAACAUUUUAAUAAGUAAAAAGCAAAAUACAUUUUUUAUUUAUAUCCAUAUAUAUUCAAAACAAAUAUGUGAGCUAUAUAUUUAACUAUCUCUUGUGAAGAAAUAUUUAAUUAAAAAUUUUAUAUUUGUAAAAUUUAUUUAUUUAAUAUCUUUUAAGUAAAGGUUUAUUUAUGUAAUAUUUUAUAAAUAAAUAUUUAUUUAUGUAAAAUAUUCUGUAAUAUCUUACAAAUAAAAGUUUCUUUAUAAAAUGUCUAUUCAAAUAAUAAUGUAGAGAUGUAAUUUAAUUAAAGUCUAAUUGAUAUGAACUUCAUAAUUAUUAUAAAAAUAUGAUCAAUUCCAUGCGAGUGAAAAAGAUUUACAUAGUUAUCGUUUAUUUCUCAUACAAAACUAUUUUAAUUUUAAAGAGUAAAACGUAGCAGAAAAUGAAAACUGGAACUUUUUUAGAAUAUGACAGCUAGUUUUAAAAAUGGGAGAUGGCUACAAUACCGUUUCAAAAUAAUAGAUUAAAACUUAAUCCCAGAUAUCCGACUUGUUGAUGGUUUCUAUUUGCUUACGCACACUAAAUAUAUUAACACUCAAGAGAGGGAAAGUGUAAAUUGUAUUAAUGAAAGUGUUAGUGAACCGUAUUACAUUAAUUCCCUUUUAUAUACCAACUAGGUUAAGAAUAAAUACAUAUAUGUUAAUACAUCCCUCUCAAACCGAAUCAACCUUAGGUAGAAAGAGGUUUGAUAAUAAUACACGACUAAGCAAAAAAUGAAAUGGACCUAGAUGCAAAGGCUUCGUCAACAUAUCAGCAAGCUGAUUCGAAGUAGAGACAUGAAGAACAUUUAGGAAGCCAUUCUUCACCUGAUCUCGGGUUAUGUGGGAAUCAAUUUCCACAUGCUUAGUUCUCUCGUGAAAUACAGGGUUAUUGGCAAGAUUCAUAGCUGAUUUUUUUUAUCACAAAACAGGUUGGCUUCAGAAGUUACCGGGAUAUGAAGAUCAGUCAGUAAUUGGUGCAGCCAAAGUAACUCUCCCGUAGUAACAGCCAUGCUCCGAUAUUUGGCCUCCGUGCUGCUUCUAUUAACCAUUUCCUGUUUCUUGGACUUCUAGGUGAUAAGAGAUGUUCCAAGAAAUACACACAGACUCGUUACAGAACGACUGCAUCUGAAAAUCCAUUCAAGCAUAACUCUGUAGUAGCAUAAUAGAAAAAACCUUAGCCCAGAUUUUCUUCAAAUAUUUAAGGAUCUGGAAAGCAGCUUGAAAAUGAACAUUAGUGGGGAAAGACAGAUACUGACUCCACUGAUGCAGCGCAAAAGUGAUAUCAGGACGAGUAAUGCAGAGAUAUUGCAAUCGACCAAUCAAUUCGCGAUAUGAAGUUGUAUCAGAAAGAGACGUACCCGCGGACUGGAUCCAUCAAAACUGAUUUUGGUUUAUAACCAAGGAGACCAUAAUCUUCAAUAAGAUCCAAGCAGUAUUUCCUCUGUGAAACAGAUAACCCCGAAGCAUUCCUUGCAAUCUCAAGACUCAAGAAGAAAUGAGCUUGGCCAAGAUCUUUGGUCUUGAAUGGGAUUGUGAUAUAUUCAUAUCAUUUCGUGUUUAGGAUGCAUUUUUGGUCCAAGAAUAGAGCCUCAUGCAUACAUUUUAGAUAGAUUCUUCAUGUUUUCUUUGUUUUAGAGGUUUAGGACUUUGCAUUAGGUCCAAGUGAGUCUUGCAUGUUUGGAGUGUCAAUCAGGUGCUUUGGAGGUCAUCUGGAGAUGAAAAUAUGGAACCAGGUGAAGAAAUGGUGAAAGAAGGGCAAGAUAUGGUAAAAAUGAGGUUUUGGAGGUUAUCGGCAAAAUUGCUUACUGCGGGAAGAUUUUUAUCGGCCAAAAAUCAUUCCCGGGAAGCAGUUAUCGGCCAAAACAUGUACCAGACCAAGUCUGUAUCGGCAAAAAUCCUUUGUCGUGGGAAAAAAUGUUUAUCGGCUAAAAUACGUACCGCAGUACGUAACUUAUCGGCCAAAACGUGAAUUAUCGGCCAAAAGUUUCCCGACCCGAUAUGCUUCAAAGAUGCCUUUACCAGAAAGCUUUCUCGUCCGAUUCAGUUUCUAGUGUUUUCACAAACGUUCAAGAGAAUUGAGUCACAAUUCCAGAACAGUUGGAAUCAAUGGAUUUGGAGCAGUGAGCUGAAAGAUACGGCCAACAGAAGAUGAAUCUGCCUCGCAUCCAUUCUGGUCAUAUCCGAUGCGACUCAAAGAUCACUCAGGAUGAAACUCUUCCCUUCCAAUCUAGUUUCCGGGGCUCUAUCAAGAUUUGAGAGAUUCGAGUCAUAUUUCCAUAACGCUUAGAAUCAUUCCAUUUGGAGUGUUGAGUUGGGAGAUAUCGCAUUCGGGAGACAGACAUGCCCUGCAGUAAGAAACUAGAACCUCCCGAGCCAAUGCAAUGAUCCGUUUACCGGAAGGCCUCUCUCACCCGGGAUGCACUUAAGUUCUUCAUCAAAGUUGUAUGGAAUUGAGCUGCCUUUCCUCUGGAGUUUCUCUCGAGUCAUUUAGACUCAUAUCCCACAAGUUAUGCUAGCUCAAGUAAACAUAGAUCCGAGGAAAUGAGAAAUGCUGCGACAUGGCUUUGCGACUCGGUCAACUUGCAGCGAUGAAUGUUUAAAUUCUGGGAGCAAGCUGAGACUUGAAAUGAUGCGGGUGAGGUGACUCGGAGCAGGGUAAGGAUUUCCAAAGCUCAAAUAUUUCUAAGUCCAGAACAGCCUAUGACAUGGCAGUGCGAGAUUGAUGAUGAGAUGAACCAUGUCGCACACACACUCGCUUGGGGCCGCGACAUGACAGUGCGAGAUGGAUGAAGAGAAGUAACAUGUCGCACUCCUACUCUCUUGGGGCUGCGAACGUGAAGCUGUGAGUGGGAAAAGAAGGAUUUAAGCUGCAAGUACAAUUGCUUGAAUGAUACGACAUGAAAGUGCGGCUGAAGAAGCAAGGGAGCUGAGACGUAACAACAUUCACUUGGGGCUGCGAGAUGGCAGUGUAGGUGAACUGAAGCCAGGACCAUCUCGCACCAUGGCCACAUGACCCAACUGAACCAGGUCAGUACACAGUUUGUCUUGAGCUGACCCGCUCCAAAACACUUAGUAUAAAUAGCUUUUAGGGUUUUUUUCCAAAGAACAUCUCAUUUUCCUUUAGGUUUUUAGCCACUUUUGUGUAAGAGACAACUAAAGAGAGAUAUCUCCUUUCUUUUCUUUGAAUCAAAAAUGUUUGAGAGCUUAAUCUAUCUAUCUUAUCAUCAUUACUAUUCAUCAUCUUGUUUUCUCUAUCAACUAAUCAUGUUUAAUUACUUUUCUUGCAAAGGAAUCAGAGAGUUAAUCAUGAUUAGUGAGUAGUCGCGUCAUUAGGGUUCUAGAUAUGUAAGUUAGGGUGUUUAGAGGUUUGAUUAAGGCUGCUUAGGAUUAAAUUUAUACAUCUCUGUCUUGUUUAGCUGAUUUUAAUGCUUGGUUAUAGAUGAUCUCUCUAACCCAGAUUUUGGGCAUUUCAUCUACCCAAAACGUGUUUGAUGAAAUGCCUGAACCAGCUAAGUCAAGAGUCUAUUGUUUGAUUCACAUGAAAAUGUUGUUUUGAGCAUAGAUGGUAUAUUAGGAUUCGUGUUUAAUGCAUUCCUUUCAUUGUGACUCUAAUGAUGAUUAGGUAUGAGCAAUGUUUGGUAUUGUGUUUUGAUGCUUGAGAAAUAUUGAAACUUGAUUUGAAUCCUAAGCUGCUUAGAUCAUUCAUCAUCAUUGUCAUUAGCUCCUUGAUUAAACUAUGAUGCACCCUAGAAACUAUCAUGUCUAGAGCUCUAAGUUUCAUCAUAUUCAUAUCAUCUUAAUCAUUUUCUGUCUUUAUUUAUUGCUUGUUUAAUUCUUUAAUCUUGUUUAAUUGCAAUUCUGUCACUUGUUUGAAACUAAAACAUUUUGUUUGUUUGAAUUAAGAAUAGUUCAUAUAGAUUAGUGAACUAAACACCACACCUUGGAUUGAUAACCUUUGUACUACAACAGACAAAGGGAUUGAUACCCUAAGAGCCUUGAAAAAUCUUGUCUACCAUAUUGAGAGAAUCUUCUAAAUAGACUUGACAGCUUCAUCAUCAUUGCUCGCUAUAAGGAUGUCAUCGACAUAGAUCAGGAGAUAAAUAAAUAAUGUACCUGUUAGCUUCACAAAGAGGGUGUUAUAUGCAUAAGACUGUACAAAUCCGGCAUCAAGUAAGACCUUCGACAAACACUUGUACCAUUAACGAGAUGUCUGCUUCAAGUCAUAGAUGGAUUUAUCAAGUUUGCAAACCUGAUUAGCAGGCAGAUGAACAUCAGCUGGAGUGUAACAUCGUGGCAAGCUCAUGUAUAUCUCCUCAUCGAGCUUACUGUGCAAGAAAGCAUUGGUUACAUCCAUUUGGGUUAAGCUCCAACCCAUUCAUGCGGCUAAACCAAGGAUAAGCUUCACACUGGCAAGCUUGGAAACUGGGAAAAGGUGUCAAAGUAAUCAACACCUUUUUGUUUUGUGUAUCCCUUUGCUACCAGGCAAGCUUUAUAACGCUCCACAUUUCCAUCUGCAUUAUACUUAAUGGUAAACACCCAUUUACAACCAACAACAUUUUCCCUCGGAGGCAAUGACACAACACUCCACGUAUUGGUUGACUCCAUUGCUCCGAAUUCCAAAUUGAAAGCAUCAGUCCAUUCUUUGGAUGAAAUCACCUGCUUAAAGGUGUUAGGCUCAGUCUCCAUUGAAAAAGAGAGAACAAUAGACUGAUAUGGGGUGUUAAGAGUAGAGUAAGAGAGAACAGAAGAAAGAGGAUAUGGAGUAGUAUAAACCUUUAUAGAAAUGGGAGGAGUAGAAAUUUUUGUUAAAGAACAAUGAUAAUUGGACAAAUAACGUGGUACUUUUGUCGAGUGUUUUAGCCUGGCAUUGGGAAGUGAAACCAGAGCAUUCUCUGUGACAACAGGGUGAUGGAUUUUCCUUGGAGCACUAGAGUGAGAUGAUGAUGCAUGUGAUGUAUAAAGCGGAGGAGAAUGGAUGGUCACAGUAGAUGAAGGAUGCAAAUUAUUAGGCAGUGAAAUCACCUAAUCUAAUGCAACAAGAAUUGGCAAUGGUAAUAUAAACUCUAAAAAAAUAUCAGAAGAUGAACUAGAAAGAAGAUGCUCAGUAAAAGGAAAUAUUGUCUCAUGAAAAACAACAUUUCGAGAAACAGAGAUAAUUUUUGAAUCAAGGUUCAAGACAUUAGAAUACCCUAAGAGUACACAUCGAUCCACACGAGGACUAAAAUUAUGUUUAUCCUUCUGUAACGUAGAAACAUAACAUAAGCAGCCAAAAGAUCUUAAGAAUAAGUAAUCGGGCUUCUUAAGCAUAACCAACUCAUAUGGAGAUUUGUGUUUAAGAAUAACAGAAGGUAAUCUGUUUAUCAAAAGACAACUCCAAAUGAAGAUCCGCUUGCGGCUAUAGCUAGAUCUGAGAGUUGCGAAUAUGCUUACAAAUUUUCAGGCUGAUCCAAUCCGAUUUGCCUGUCUGUUUCUCUCUUACACCAUAACAGGUCGGAUCUGCCACCUAGAUGGUUACAAUGGCUUCGCCUUUAAGGUUCUUGGCCACAAGAUAGCUCUCUGAUCUCUUCUAAGACAUGGCUGCUCUAUUUAUAGAGUGGAGAAGAGAUACUUCUAAAUUUAGAGUUUUAGAGAGGAAAAUAAUGAAAAUGGGUUUGAGAGUUUUUCUGAUGGGUUUUGAGUAAUCAGGCUGAAAAAAAAAAAAAAAAUUAGACCAAACCCUAUUCUUGGGAUGUCACAGAUUUAUUAGAGAAUAUAUUUACAUGAGUUUAUAAUUAUUUGUAUGAUAUUUACAUGAGUUUAUAAUUAAAUCGUACAUUAACAUAGCAUCGUUAUUGGAUAGUUAGUCGGAUCGGUUCAACCGGUCAUACGAAAAGUUUGUUUAAUAUAUAUAUAUAUAUAAGAAAAUAAGAAUAGUUAUUUUAAGAAAAAUAAAGAAAAUAAAAUUAAUUUCUUUUAAUUAUUUACAACUGCCAGCCAGCGAUUACAUCCGUCGCUUGAAGAAACUUAUUAUCUAAAUGAAUAAAUAAACUUUUAAUUUAUAGCGGUUCUAAGCGUCACAAAGAGAUAAGAAACAAGUUCAACGGUUUUAGUGAUUGUUAUUAAACGUCACGAAAAUAUAACCGUAUGCAAACAUAGCGUAUGUGGCUGGCAGCGAGAAAACUAUCCAACACUAAAUAUUACAUAUUUACUUUAAAAUUCAUGCCUGCUUAUUACCAAACCAUAUUUUUACCAAUUUUAAUUGUGACAUUUAAUGUCCGCACAUGCGUACAGGCCAGUCAUAAAUCUGAUAUAUUGCAUUCACAUCAAUUUGUGUGUAUUUUUGUUUUGAUAUGUCUUCUGAUUUUUUUCUGUCCUAUGUAACCAUUUUUUGAUAAUUUUAAUUGGUUGAUCAUUAAUCUUUACGUGUCUUUUAAAAGUGAUGUGGUAUAAUCGUUUUAAUUAGAUUAUUAAAGCUCGUUUAAGAUUGUCUUUUUAAAAACGACAAAAAAAAUCGGACAAAGUAAGUAAUAAAAAUAAAUGUAUGACCCAUAUAUUUGAAAGUGUCACUGGCCCAAUGGCAGAAGUCUCCCUUAUGCAUUUGAAGGACAUGUGUUUGAACCAAGGUGGUAACAAUUUUUUAAAAAAUCGUAGAAUUUUAAAACGACAUCGUUUUGAGUUAACCUAACAGUAACAGCAGAGUUAACAGCGUUUAACUUUUCUGUUAACUUUAUAAACGGAGUGCUGAUUUGGCAAGUCAACGAAAAGUUUGUUAUUAUUUAUGGAAGUCAACAAAAAUUAAAUGUUUAUUUGGCUAGCCUGACAGUUCAUGCUUUUUUUUGGCAAAAUGUGGAAAGUUUAAGGUUUUUUUGGCCGAAUUCUCAAAAUAAACUCAUUAAAGUUCGUUUAAAUUGUUUUUUUAACCAAUAAACAUUAAAACCUGUUUAAGAUUGUCUUUCUAAAAACCAAUUAAAGUCUGUUUAUAGUUGUUUUUAUUAAAACCAAUGAACUCAAAAAACCUAAUAUACUUCUUCGAUACACUAAAUAUAUAUAUAUAUAUCCUCUCUAACAUAGUUUGUCUUUUAAUGUUCUCUUUUUCGGUAAACAUUACAUUUGCUUUUUUCUAUUAAUUUUAUUAACGUACGCUUGAGUUUGAGUUUGUUGCUUGUGCUUAUAAAUUUUUUUGUAACAAUUCCUAAUCUUUUUAAGAUUAUGAUUGAAAAUGUUAGUAUAAACAACCAUAGUUUAAAAAAUAGCAUCAAUGUUCACAUACUCGUGAAACAAUGUAUAGCAUCAAGUCUAUCAAUUUUUUUGGUCUCUUAUUUUAGAUUUGAUGCGGCAAAAAGAUUGCUUUGGGAACCAAGUCUUUUUUUUUGUUGGAAUUAUCUUCUAUUCUUGUCAGUUUUUAUUUUUCAUGCAAACGUUGACAUUAAAAUCUCUUUGUUAGAUUUGAUACCAUAUUAAAUUUCAAAUCUGAAUUAAUCAUUAUAUUUAUACAUUAUUAUUAUGGAUGAGUUUAUUUUCGUUAUCUGUAGCCCAAACUCUCUUCCCACGAAAAAAACGAUUAAACCAAUAAUAUUUAUUAUAAACAGGCCGAUAGACUUUAGUAUAAACAAGUUUCAAUAGCCUAAUUAUAACAAAAUUUGUCACAUCGCUUUAAAGCACGUAUAGAAUUAAUGAACGAACAAAAAAUAAAUACAUGACAUGUCAGGACAAAACGACACAUAAGAUUUUGGACUUCACAAAUAAUAGUAACUAGGAAUUAACAUGCACAUUGUGCGGGGUAAUGUUUUUAAGAAUUUUAAAUAUUUUUUAAAAAAAUUUUGGUUAAGUUAAAAAUUGGUAGCAAAAACCUUUUAACAAAAAAUAUAAAUAAAUAAAAUUGGUAGCAAUUAGAUAACUAUAUAUAUAUAUAUAUAUAUAAAUAUCAUACAACCGAUAUUUACGUGUAUAUGUAUCUAUUGAAAGAACUUUGAGCUAGUUUUGUUAUGCGGUGUAAUUAUUAGUAGUUUUUAAAUGUGAAGGUGAUGUGAUGUUAAUAUAUUCAUACUUAUAUACUGCUGGGAUAAAUUCGAUCCUUCCUACAUGGACGAACUGCAUGCUUGCACGUGGCGUCCAUGUUUUUUUUUUCAGGUACGGCCCCCCUGGGCCAAAUUAGGAUCCGUAGUGGGUCGUAAGCAUAUAGCACUGGGCCUCGAAUCCAUAAGGAUUCGGGAGAUCCGGUACGAUAGAUCACUUGUUCCCGGGUUCCUCGUAUCUAAUAGUGCAGGCCACGCUGUCAGAAGUAAGGAGGUCGAAACUGAGUGGUCAAGAGGAGGAGAAGUCCCAUUUUCUAUGUCCUAGGCCUAAACAUGGUAAUCCGGAAAGGUCGAGAUAUAAGGUAGUGUGGCCUACACAGGAUCUGGAGAGCGGAGUCAUCCAUCGAGACAACCCCGACAGCCCGGUCCCAGUAUCGAGGGAUCCAUGUCAGGUAUGAAAUAAUUUUAUGAGCGGAAAACACUAUUCAAAUUUUCCUCCAUUCGAUAAUAGGAAUAUGCCUUAGUAUGAUUUGAUUGCCCAUACUCUUACAAAACCAUGAAAUUGGCAUUUAAUGCACCCUUCUUACAUGUGUCAGGCGACAGCGACCUUUCACAGAAACUAGAGGAAAAGAAGAGGUUCAUCAAGAGUUAUACCGCGUAUGAACCGCCAACCCAAUCCGUACACUGGAGACGAAAGGAACAUGCUAAGGAGCGGUCUCGCAGCAGGCAGAACACGUCAAGGAAAGUUGGUGAGACCGUCAGAGGUAUGACGUGGGAAAAAGAUUUGAACCCAAUAAAAUCGGAUCGAGAACCGACCAACCCACCCGACUCGCUAUGCAAGGACAGACCCGGUAUACUAACCCGGGUCAGGUAAAAUCCUAUAAAUACAUUAUCCUUUCCAACAAGGAAGGAGAUCACUUUUAUUUGCUAUCUUAAGGCUCAUAUUAUCUCUCUAGAUACUUGUGAUCUUUGAGCCCUAACAUAUUAUACUUUCCGGUCAUUACUCAGAACAAUGUUUUAGUUCUUCUCCACGGCGGUUCCUAAAUCGUGGAGUAUUUCCACCCACAAACUCUUUCAUUUCUUCUCUUUUAACUAAUUCUUUAUAAGGAACGCUGGGCCCAUCUUUCUUCUCUCGUUUUCCGAACUCUUUCCUCUCUCCAAUUAGUCACUCUGUGAUCUUUCUUCACUGUUUUCUGACUUGAACGUCGGAGAACCUUCCGAAAACACACCAUCAUCGUGUUUUUUGGGCCUUCACGUGCUUUCUGUUUUUGCAAGAGACUUACCCCCACAAAGGAUCAAAAAUCUCUAAAUAGUUUAGCGCUAGAAAGAGGAGGGCAACACUCUUCUAUAGGAAGAACUGAAACCAUACACGACCUUGAAGGUAUGUCAUGACAAGAGAAGACGGAGGUAGCUCACCAGAGAACGACACCUUGGAGGGGAUGGAAGGAGAGAACAUCUGCUGGGUCGACAGACCGACCAAGCUAUUCUCGGGAUGCCCGAUGAUAAGGGGAACAUCUUUGGUUCCCCACGCCGCCGCCAAACGCACACUCAGAACUCGUCCAGAGUGUAGAAGAAAAUGCCCUGUAAAAUUCCUUACAUCCAAAAACCUUAGUGAAAGUGUUGGCAAACUGGUCAUUAUAUAUAACAAAUGAGUUAAAGACUCGUGGGCAAUGCCCAAUAAAGUCUGCCAUGGAUUGGUCCUGUACAACAGUUUUUAUAUCAAUUAAAAAGUGCAGGCCUCGUAGGUUGAUCGAUUGCAGUUUGCGGAUUAAACAAUUGGGAUCUAUACUAGUUUCGGCAAAGAUAAUUGACAAGAACGUCCAAAACCGGCUAAGUGAAAGACAACGUCUUGGAGACCAAAAGUAUGAAAGAAGCCUCAUGUAUUGGUUUGCCACACACAAAAAAAAAACUAUUUGUUUUUAGUUUCCAUUUUAUAAAAAAAAACUAGGUAUUUAGCCCUUUUUUGCAUGGGCAGAGAAGUUUAUUAAAUAAUACUAGGAGAGAAUCCGCGCGUAUGCGCAGAUCUUGUUUUAAUUUAUAUUUUGAAUAAUUUGUAUUGAAUUUUAUGUUUACUAUUAUUGUAUUUUUGUUUAGAAUAUUUAUAAUAAAUUAUUUGUAAUCUCUUCUACACCAGUUGUGUCAAAUAGUCUAAUUUUUUCUUCGAUCUUCAUAUUCUUUUUAUUCUUGUAAAUCUUACUAAUAUAAUAUUUGUUAAUUUUCUUAAUUUUCUAUUUGAAUUUUUUUGGUUAUAUAUAUUUUAUUGAUACCAUCUUUUUAUUAUUAAAAAAAUUAUAUAUGACAUUUUUAUGUGGAUACUUUUUUUUACUAUUAUUUUUUUAAUAACUUUUAUCUUUUUAAUAGUUUAUUAAAUAUGCUUUGUGUUUUAUACUUUUAUUAGUUGAAUUUUUAUAUAAGAUUAUUUGAAACUUUUUAAUUUAGUCAGUCUCAUAAUUUUUUUCACUUGCAUUAAAAUUUAAUUAUAUUUUUAGUUUGUAAAUGAAUUUUAAAACAUUUGAAAAAAGAAAAUAGAACUAUGCAAUUAAAAAGUCUUAUAUUAUAUAAUAGUUAUAAGUUUUUAUAUAUUAAAAUUAAAUUUUAAUUUUAUUCUAAUAUAAAUAUAUGUUAAUAUUUAUUUAUGUUUUUAAUGUGUUUGCUUUAAAUAUGAUUAAUUAAUUAUUUUGUUAAUAUUUGAAGAGGAUAGGUGGUGCUCUCUCCAGUGCUGACGUGUCGCUCAACUGGAGAGAGUUGGCCAAAUUUUAUAUAUAUGACUAGGAGAAUACAUGCACGUAAUAUGCGGGUUUUUUCUUUAAUUAUUUCAAAUUGAUAUAUUUUUGUAUUUUUCUUAAAGAAAUAUAGUCAUCAUUUCUUCUAUGUUACUAUAUAAUUAUAAAUCAAUCAAUUUAAAAUUUAAUAUUAUUAAAAAAUCAAGAGUUUAUACAAAAAAGCUAUCAAUGUUUUAGCAUAAAUUCUUGUUUAAUAUUUAUAUAACUGUUAUUUAAGAAUCAGUUAAUAAAAAAAAACUAUUUUCUUUGAAUGGUUGAGAAUUUAAUACUAAAAUUUAUUAAUCAAUUUUUUUUUGAUAAUUGUAACUUUAAAUUAAAAAUUGACAAAUGUCAUCUCUAUAUUAACUCUAAAAUGCUGAUGUGUCACUCAUAUAUAGAGAGUUAGCCAUCUUUUAUAUAUAAGAUUAUAAGUAAACAAUAUAUUUGGUAGUUUAAUCUUCAUCUCUAAAGUAAUCAUUAUUUGCAUAGAUUAGUUUUAUGCAUUAUUUUAUUCAUUCAACUUUUAGCCUCAAAUUUCUCCUUUUUUGGCUAAAUUGACUAUCCUUACUGAUUUUUAUCUUCUCGUAAGCGUAGACGUGAAACCAUUUUAUCCAGUUGUAUGUAACAAAUCAAUCUUUUUUGCUAGCUUUGAUACCAUAUUUAGUUUCAUCUCUGAAAAUUUCAUUAUAUAUACAUUAAGUUUAAAGAUGAUUUUAGUUCUUCAUUCUCUUGAAAUUUCUCCCUGUUUAACGAAAAUUGUCUCUCUUUGGUUGAUACUUAUCUUUUAUGCAAGCGUGGAUACAAAACUUUAAUAUCAUGUUGAUACCAUGUUAAACUUUUUUAAAAUUAUAGUCAUUAUUUAUAGACAUUAAAUAUAUAGAUUAUUGUAACUAGGUGAAUCUCCGCACGUUACGUGCAAGUUUUUUUUUCUUCAACUAUUUCAAAUUUCAAAUUCCUAAGAAAAAUGCAAUCCUACUUUAUUAUGUGUUAGAAUAUUAUUAUAAAUCGAUCAUUUAAAAUAUAAUAUUAUUAAAAAAUUAAGAUUAUACAAAAAAAAAUCCAUCAAUAUUUUUAAUUAAUUAUAACAUAAAUUCUUGUUUAAUAUUUACAGAAAUAUUAUUUAAGAAUCAAUUAAUAAAAAACUUUUCAUUUUCUUUUAGUGUUUUAAAACUUCAUAUAAAAUUUAUUAAUUAAUUUUCCUUAAAAACUUUUGUAACUUUAAAUUAAGAAAUAUGACACAUAUCAUCCCUAUAUUAACUCUCAAAUGCUGAUGUGGCAUUCGUAUGAAGAGAGUUGGCCUUCUUUUAUAUAUAAAAUUUUUCAUUCUCUCUAGUCGGAAAUUUCUUCCUCUUUUGUCGGAAUUGUCUUUUGUUCUUCUAUGUUUUUAUAUUUCAUGCAAGCGUGUACAUAAAAUUAUUAUAUCAGAGCGUAGGUAAACAAUUCUUUUGUUAGCUUUGAUACCGUGUUAAGUUUCAAAUCUGAAUUAGUCAUUCUUUUAUACAUUAUUUUUUAUGGACGAAUUUAUUUUCAUUCUCCGUAGUUCGAUCUCUCUUCCCACGGAAAGACGAUUAAACUAAUAAUAAGAAAACCGCAGACUUUACAUUGAAACGAGCUGCAGAUAAAAUUUAGAAUAAAAUGGACUUUAAUGAUCCAGUUAGUAUGAACUAUGACACAUCACUUUCAAAACACACAUAGUAUAAAUGAACAAUUUAUUAAAAAGCUAGCUUUAAUACCAUGUUAGAAAAUAAACUAAUCCUUUUUGCUAGCUUUGAUACCAUGUUUAGUUUCAUCUCUGAAUUUUUCAUUAUAAAUAUACAUUAAGUUUAAAGAUAAUUUUGGUUCUUCAUUCUCUAGAACUUUUUCUCUGUUUAACGGAAAUUAUCUCUAUUUGUCAGUACUUAUCUUUUAUGCAAGUACAGCCACAAAAUUUUGAUAUCAAAGCGUAGGUAAUUAAACAAUUUUUUUGGUAAUUUUGAUAUCAUGUUAAUCUUUAUCUUCAAAAUAGUCAUUGUUCAUAUACAUUAAUUUUAUAGAUUAUUUUAAUUCUUCAUUCUCUCUAGCUGGAAAUUUCUUUCUAUUUUGUCAAAAUUGUCCUUUAUUUUUUUGGUUUUCAUCUUUCAUGCAAACAUGGACAGAAAACUAUUAUAUCAGAGCGUAGUUAAACAAUUCCUUUGUUAGUUUUGAUACUGUGUUAAGUUUUGAAUCUGAAUUAAUCAUUAUUUUAUACAUUAUUUUUAUGGAUGAAUUUAUUUUUGUUCUCCGUAGUCUAAUCUCUCUUCCCACAGAAGGACGAUUAAACCAAUAAUAAGAAAACCAUAGAUUUUUUAAUUAAAUAAGACCGCAGAUAAAAAUUAGAAUAAAAUUGACUUUAAUGAUCCAGUUAAAAUGAAGUAUGAUACAUCACUUUUAAAAUACAUGUAGGAUAAAUGAAUGACCUAUUAAAAACAUUAAAAAAGUCAAUAAGUUAGAAAAUAAACUAACCACACAUCAGAUUUUUUGCUUCAGAAAUAUAUCGAUUGAAAAACAAUGUUGCACUUGAUGUACAAAUGGCUUUUGAUUGAAUAACUAUUACAUUCAAUUAAAAAAACAAUAACGCCUAGAGAGACUAGAAGUGCCUUUAACCAAAGUAAUUAACUAACCGUCAACACCAUAGAUGGCGCGAUGCUCUUCGACAGAGGAUCAAGACACAAGCUGCUGUUUUUGAGACUUCAAAGAUAUAGAACAACCACCAAACUGAAUAAUAGAAUCUGUAUAAUAACGUCUUGUUGUUGGGCAUCAUGCCCGGCCGGAACUGCCCCAUGCAAUAAGAGACAGAUGAGUCUUAGCUUUUAAAAGAAAACCAUGUCACAGAUUGCCUUUGACCUUGAGUAAACAUAUAAACCUUGUUGUUGCAUCCCAAUGAGUCUGUUUUGGUUCUUGCAUGAACUAAGCAACAAUGUGGACCAGUGUUAAUCUGCAGGUUCAGGAAUUGUACCUCUUUUAACUAAAGCAAGACGUACGAUGGUUCUUCUCCAGAGGCACAGGUCUCCGAAAUGAUAUUAUGAUGGUCACAAAAUGUGAAAGCAGUUUUAAAAAUGUUUCCUACCUAAAAUCCCAAGCGCAAGGCUGAAAUCGAAGUAGUACUAGGUACAAAUUCACAGGGAGGAAGCAGAGUCGACCCUUGGCCAAUCCAAGAAAGCCUAUACUUCCGGCUGAUUCUUUUAUAAAAAAAUAUUUGGUCCUCAAUUAUUCAAAACUUGUCUUAGUCUGGUCAGACUGAUCGUAAAGUCUUAUGUGGCGCUUUUAGUCCCCAUUCCGUGUUCGAAUCUGCAAAUUGCCUUAGUUGUUGGGUCUAUAUGAAAAACGUUGAGAGUCUUUAGAUUUCUGGUAGUCUAUACUCUUAAGGGAAAAAUAAACUUCCUUGGCAGCCUGUUAUAAUCUUAUUUCUUGGACCCAACAGUACGAACAAUGAAAUCGCACUACACAAAACCAAAGAGAAUAUAAUACAGAGACAACAUAAACAACAAACGAUAUUAUUAUGCAAAGAGCAGACAUUACAACUCGAACACUGAGACAUUACAUUAUGAAACUUUAUUCCCAUAGAUUCUUUUUCUUGAGUUACUUCAUUACAAACUCACCAUGGUUCACUUAUAGUCAUACACACGUAUAACUGUAUUAUAUAGAUGUAGCCAUGCAUGGUGGUUAAUAUAAUAUGAAGUUUUUAGUUACCAGGCUGAGUCUCAACUGCUUCUACUCCGUGCCCUCCUCUUCCUCCGUGUCCACCGCGUCCUCCUCUUCCUCCUUUGUAUCCUCCCCCUCCUCCUCCGUAGUGUCCCCCUCCUCCUCCGUAGUGUCCUCCUCCUCCUCCUCCUCCGUAGUGUCCUCCUCCUCCGUAGUGUCCUCCUCUUCCUCCUCCGUAGUGUCCGCCGCGGCCACCACCAUAUCCAUCAGGUUUCACAGUUUCCUCACUCUCUGACUUCACCCCUGUCCAAAAAAAUAUAGAAAAAUCACAUUAUUUCAAAGAUAUUGUUUAGCACGUGCAAAUGUUCUUUCCUCUCCCCGAUUUCAAAAACGAAAUUUCUCUUAUAAACAUUUUAAAAUAUGUAUCGAAUCUCUUGUUUAGAAUAAAGAAUUAUGAGUUUCAAAAUUAAAUAUACGUUCUAUAUAAAAUUUUCACCAAUAUACGUAAGUGUCUUUUAUUACUAGGACAUCAACAUCGUACUUAAGUGUGUUUUUUGACUUAUAAGUCCAUAUAGUUGACCUUCGUUCAAAUCAACCUUCCGGACUUAACACGGACGAAAUAGACAAAUAGAGACAAUAUUAUCAAAUAUGGUACGUUUGUUUGGGUUCGAUUAGCUUCACGAACAUUUAUUUUGUUUCUAUAAAAUAAUUUUAUUUACCCGAUGAUUGCCUUUCUGCGGCAACUUCUGAGACGACGAGAAGUAAUGCAAAGAGACCCAAAAGAAUCAAAGCUUUGGAAGCCAUUUUCUUCUACUGCUUUUAAGUUUAUAACACUCUUUU